CCUACGGGAGGCAGCAGUGGGGAAUUUUCCGCAAUGGGCGAAAGCCUGACGGAGCAAUGCCGCGUGGAGGUGGAAGGCCCACGGGUCGUCAACUUCUCUUCUCGGAGAAGAAACAAUGACGGUACCUCAGCCGAAAGCCACGGCUAACUACGUGCCAGCAGCCGCGGUAAU
rnacentral:rRNA from 1 species